rnacentral:misc_RNA from 1 species
UUUAAAAAAAUUUGCAUAAUGAAAGCUCUUACGUUGCAUAAUCCUUCAAACUAAAUUAGGUGCUUAAACAUCAUAAUUUUAGUUUGACAUUUUUUUAAUGAAUGCAAUUAUUGGAGGUAAGCUUUUUUUGUUCAGUAUAAUUAGUUGACUUCUGAUCUCUACAAAUCCUUACUGCCUUUAUAAUCUAAAAUCCUAAACAAAGAUACACUAACUUCCUACAUGGUAUGGGAUCAGUAAGCUUGUAUGAUCAUUAUCG